rnacentral:lncRNA from 1 species
GUAGUAUUUUCUAAAUUGCAACAUGUUUUCUGACUGGAAAUUGUUUCCAUUAUUCCUUGAUGCAGGGUGGGCUCAUAGGCGUUGUCUUCGAUUCAAGGUCUGUGGUUGAUGAAAUUAAAAACAAGAAUCAAGACAUGGUUUCAAACAAUUGAGUGCUUCAAAUCAAGACGAAAAUGAAAGCAUAGUUCUUAUUAUGUUCAUCAGGUUAUGCUGCCCCUUUUUCACUCACAUUCCAAACAUUACAUAACUUUGUUCACUCACAUCCGAAACAUUACAUAAACCAAAAAAAUACCUAUUUACCUUAUAAUCCAUAACUAUGCCAAGGUUAGACCAGCACUGUCACACCCUGAUCUUAGGGUAUGACUAAAGUGAUGGAUUAAGUUGAAAGAAAGAUUGGAGGAUAUUUAUUUAUUUUUCUUUUAAAUAAACUUGGAAGGAAGCAACACCUCAUAACUAAAACUUUGGCUGAGUUGACAUAAAGAGAAAGUAAGAAUCAAUAUGUUGAAAACAAGGAGGUGAAACAUGAGAACUAAACUUCCCAAGAAAUACUAAUACCUUCAAUUCCCAAAAGUUGUAAACCAGAGCUGUAACCAAAAGAUAUUAAACAAAACUUUGAACACAACUUUAAUUCCUUGUUCAAUUGCUUUCAAAGAUACACAAUGAGUUAAACGUGAGAUAUUGUUGGGAUAUCGGCCAAUUAUGUAUGUCAAGGAAACCCCAAAAGAACACAGCAAACCAAGAGAAACAACCACAGAGAUAAGACACAAAGAACACAGAUUUAAGGUGGUUCAGCAAAACCUUUGCCUACAUCCACCGGCAGAAAACACUUCCACUAUAUUAAUAAUGGGUACACCAGAAAGAAUAAGAAAACAAGGACUCUCUCACUUCUCUUCCUAUCUCUCUCCUCUCUGCCCUCUCUCACCCUCUAACCGAGAAUGGAACACACUUUGCUCUUUGUCUCUGCGAUACAAGACCUAGAACUAAACCUCUCCUUAUAUAGCCAUAAGGAUCUUCAGAUCUCUUCACCAAAUAGGAAUCCUAUUCCUAUUAGUGGUAGGCAAUAAUGCCUCAUUCCUUCUCCGUAAUCAACAAGAUUACAGGUACACCAUCAUCAAUAAGGAUUUACUUUCCUUAUUGGAACACCAUACUCUAAGACGAAACAUCUUACGAAAAACACAUGGGCUGGAAACCAAACAGAUAUAACUCUAACAUACUUCCUUUCCAAAGGAUUGUAAAACGGUACAGUAACAAAGGUAAUUGCAGAAUCCUUUCAGUACAACUUUAAAUCUUUGUUCUGCUGCUUUUAAAAAAAUGCCAUGAAACAGUAAAAAAAUCAGAAAAGAGGAAGGCUAGACAAAGCUUUACAUUUUGUUCAAUAGCAAACUUAAAUUAUAAGACCAUCCAUCACAUAUGGUAUCAUAACCAUACCAGGUCAUUGCUUAAGAGCUAGACAACUAUUUCAAUCCUUUAAACAUAACACAUCCAGCAAUGCCAUUGCAGCAACACCAUUGCAGCAACACCAACCCAAAGUAAGAAACACAUAUACUUUAGCUCAAGAAACUCCAGAAUAUCAUUAGCUUGUCCACUAAUGGACUACCUGAAAACAACAAGAAUAUAGGGAAUGAGCUUCACAAGCUCAGUAGGUGCGACAAAAUAAUCUUUAUAACAAAGAUUCUAAUUCAACAUGCACUUGGAAAUGAAAGGCAGGAACAUAUAUGAAGCUUAAGAGAAAUAACCAAUGAAAUGAGAUUAACCCCAAUAAUUGCUGCUGCACUUACGAAAGUAAGCCAGAGAUUUAGAAGCAACAUAAAUGAACUCGACUCAAAGAUAACAUUGGAAUUUCAGAUAUCACACUUUACCAAGUAUAACAAGCAUCAGCAGCCAGUAUACACAAACGAAGUAGAAGAAAGCUAAUCACGUAUAACCAGCAUCAACACUUUACUUGAACGAAGUAGAAAAAGGCUGAUCACGAGGGUGAUUUGACAACAAGACCAACAGAUAAGAACACUUACGAAUCAAUAAAAAUGUCAAUCAGAAUACUCAAGAAACUCAUGGAAUUUUCUUUCACUAGAAUUCAACAAAUCCUCAAGAUGCUGGUUGGAGCCCACCGCCCAGCUAUACCACCGAGCAAACCCCGCACAUGCGGUACCCUGAUCAGGUUUAGGGUUAAACAACCCAAGGGAGUCACAAUCCCCACUCACAUAAUUCACCGGGCCUAACCGAACAGAAUAUUUGAAAUCCAAUCAUUUCUUUCCAGGAAGUUUCACUUUCCAAACCAACUGAUCAAAUAAGGAUUUCAGAAAGAAACUUGAAAUCCCUUUUCAGAAUAUCAUAUGACACUACCCAGAAAUAGUACUGUAAAAUGGACAGAGCAGAUCUUUAGGUGAAGAUCAAAACAAUAGGUACACGAGUUUAGAACUAAUGACAAUGAGGUAGCGAACCUGAGUUCACAAACUCAUAGAUGACAAGAGGAAAUUAUCAAAGAAUGGGAGUUUGUUUCCAAGUAAAUUCAAAUAGGCAUAUCAGAGGAAUCAACUUUUAAUAUUAAACUGGUUAUGAGGUACGUAUCAAUACAUGGAUUUGAAAGCCAGCAACAAAGACUUGGGUUUUCAAACUGUUGGAGUAAUCAACAACAAAGACGAUAACUGAUAGAGAAGGAUAUAACCAAUAACGAACAACAGUACACAUAUACCCCAACAUAAUGCAAGGCAUUGAAUUACUCAAUAAACAUGAGUAGCUUUAUGAUAAUUUUGUCAAUGAAUAACGAAUACUUUCAAACAAGGAUAUCAAGUAGUACGAACUGAACUCAAUUACAGCCAGGUACAUUUUGACUUGGAACUCAUGAUUUCAUAUGGACCAAAAGGUACUGGAAACAAAAUAGACUUUGAAGUUGAAAGGGCACAUAAAUCUCUUUACUGUAUCUUAAAAGGAAUAAAAUAGAAACUGUAUAGAACUCAACAACUUUUCCUAAAUAUGACUGUUUACCCAUCAAAAAUAAGAGCAAGUCAAUAGGAUGAUUGUAGAGAAAGAAACAGAACUUAUAGUAAUGACGUCCAGGCAAGACCAAUAAUCAUGUGAAUUCAAAGAAUCUUAACGAAGAUAAACUUGAUCUAUAAUAGGAUCAUAAGCAGAUAAGAAGAAAGUAAGAAACAUGAAAGUGGGCUGCACAAGUUUUGCUAGAAGACAACGCAAAGAAUAAACAUAAAACCAGUUGGAGGAGAUAUACUGAAAAGUUCCAGCUGUAGAUUUAAAAUUUCAACUUCCUUUUUAACAAGUAUACAAAUACUGAUGGACUAAUAUAAACCAUUUAUAUGAAUGAGUUAUGAUACAAUCGGACGUCAAGACUAGAUCAAGAAAUGAACUAUCAAGUACAGCCAUAGGAAGCUUCUUUUGAGAUCAUCAAGCACUACAAUGAAACAAGAUUUGACAUGGAACAGAUUUGCACUAAAACACUUUCACGGAUAUAUACCAAAAUAUAUGGAGGCAUAAGAAAAGAUUUUGAGGAAAGAGGACGUUGGCUUUUGUACAUACUUCAAAGAACUUCAACAUGGAUAUUCAAAGGCUAAUAGUUUAUAUCAACACUAACACAUCCAUUACAAGGACACUUGAACCAUGAAUAAGCAGCUAUCAACAUACUCGUAUGAUCAUAUCAGAAAGAAUUAAACCGAAUGAGACAUCACAACAAUGAAAACUCAAUACUUCAGAUUGACAAACCAACUGCUUGUCAAUUUACAAGAAAGAAUGCAUAAGAAACAUUUCCAACAAAUACAUAUCAAACUAGAAUCAAAGCUAUAAAGAAAAGUUUGUUUUCCCUACCUCAAAUCAAGCAACUAGCAGCCAAAAUCUCCAAGCACACAAGCAUCUAUGCCCAUAGAUGAUAGCAAUCCAAUUUUUGAAAGCAAACACCCAGCUGGUACCCAAGCAAUUCAAGUUCCCUAAUUUGAAAUUCAUGGCACAAAUCAAUCAUCCACUUUAUUGGGUAAUAGCUGAAACAAGAAUUAGUUUGAGAAAGAGGACAAUGAAACUUACAGAAGCUAACAGCAAAUUGAAAAGACAAUUUCAUAUUCUUUGACAGUAGGAUUCAUGGCGAUUCUCUCCUCUUUCUUGUGAGCUAGUGAAUUGGGUGUGGUUGGUUUAGAGAAGAGAACGAUGAUCAUUAGAGAACAAAGACAGAAC